rnacentral:misc_RNA from 1 species
GAUGAAGACGUAGCGAAAUGCGAUACUUGGUGUGAAUUGCAGAAUCCCGUGAACCAUCGAGUCUUUGAACGCAAGUUGCGCCCGAAGCUAUUAGGCCGAGGGCACGCCUGCCUGGGCGUCACACGUCGUUGCCCCCCCAUCUACUCCUUCGGGAUUGCGGGGGGCGGAUGAUGGCCUCUCGUGCGCCUCGUCGCGCGGUUGGCCUAAAUGCCAAGUCCUCGGCGACGCACGCCACGACAAUCGGUGGUUGCGAAACCUCGGUUGCCUGUCGUGUGCGGUCGUCGCGCAUCGAGGGCUCGAAAAAAUUGCCGGGCUUCGGCUCGACUUUCAACGCGACCCCAGGUCAGGCGGGGUUACCCGCUGAAUUUAAGCAUAUCAAUAAGCGGAGGA